rnacentral:lncRNA from 1 species
CUAGCAGAGCUUUCUGCGAAAUGAAGUGCCAAGAUCACUACCACAACCCGUCAAGGAUGGAGCUGUGCGUGCACGAGUGCAUGAGCUAUGGCCUCAAGCUCCAUGCGGAUAGCAACAACGGCGUCGACCACCAUCCCCAUGCCUGGGAGGUGGUGGUCGGCUGGCGUGCCGAUGGCCGAAGCAACGACAUGUGCGACAACAAGUGCCAGCACUGGCAAGACCCUGCCGGAAGACGACGGUGCGUGAACGAGUGUCACAGCCGGGAGCAUCAUUAUCCUAGCAGAGCUUUCUGCGAGAUGAAAUGUCAACAUCACUACCAUGACCCGUCAAGGAUGGAACUGUGCGUGCACCAGUGCAUGAGCUAUGGCCUCAACCUUCAUGUAGGAGGCAACAACAGCGCCGAUGAGCAUCCCAUCGUCUGAUUAAUGGCGGACGGAGCUAUCGUCGAGGUUGUGCGAUGCCCGCCCCCAUCGCGCACCUAAUAAUUAUAAGAAAAUAAUGAGGGUUGCGCUUCAAUACAUCCUCCUUAAAUAAACUUUUAAAAAGGCA